rnacentral:rRNA from 1 species
AUGGUGUACAAGCUUAACAAGGUAUUGUAUGGCCUCAAACAAGACCCUCGUGCUUGGUAUGACACACUCAAAGACUUCCUGAAGAGCGAAGGCUUCAAACCUGGUUCCCUGGAUCCCACACUCUUCACAAAGACAUAUGAUAUUGAAUUGUUUGUGUGCCAAAUAUAUGUGGAUGACAUUAUCUUUGGCUGCACCAACCAGAAAUACAGUGAUGAGUUUGGACACAUGAUGCAAGAGCAAUAUCAGAUGUCCAUGAUGGGUGAGCUGAAGUUCUUCCUUGGUCUUCAAAUUCGUCAACAAUGCAAUGGCAUCUUCAUAUCUCAAGAGAAAUACCUCAAAGACCGCCUGAAGAAGUUUGGAAUGCAAGACUGCAAAGGUUACGAUGCCAAUGCCAAUCAAGAGUCAUCUGGGUCCCGGCGCCAAUGGUAA